rnacentral:rRNA from 2 species
CCCAGGUCAGGCGAGGCCACCCG